UUUCCCUUCUCCCUUUAGAGUGCAUGUCCUGAAGGUGGUCUGUGGUUCAGGCUGCCAUAGUACCACAGAAAGGGCCCCCAACUUGAACCUGGACUCAAUACUUCUCCUGGGGGCCUCCCCUCUAUGGGGUCCCACAGGAGUGGGGAUGAGACCAAGGAAUACCUAGGUGCUUGGGUCUCUCUAGAGGCACAGGGAACAUCUGAUCUUCCACUAGGGUAGGCAACAUCAUCAGGCAUGUCAUCUGUACAGGAUGUGACACCCCUUCCUGGACUGGAUGACUGAGGCCAGAAGUUCUGUGUCAUGCAACCAGAGCCAUGGGUGCCACAGAGGUGGUGGCCUGGGCUGGGGCAGACAGACUGGGUCACUGCAGCAACUCAGCCCAGCCUCGUCCACGGGUGGGGAACACCUGGGACCCCAGAUGGAGGAGGGGCACUAACAUGUCAUUGCUUUUCUACAAGGACGCGGCAGCAGAGGUCCAGAAGUGCAAUGUGUUUGUCAGGCUCUCUGAGCUGCAGCCCCCUUGCCCCCACCAGGCAACCUGGCAAAGUGCUAGAUCUGCCCUCCUGGAUCUCAUUCUGUCCUUGACCAGAGCAACCCUCUCAUCCCAUCAAUGGUAUCACAGCCUCCACCACCUAUGCCUGGGCAGCCAGUAGCCAGCCCUUGGCUCCUUCUGGAAGCUGCUUCAGAUGACAGGAUUGCUCAAGACUGUCUUCCCUGACCAAGAAGCGUUUGUGUGUGCCAAGGAUUGCAGAGACACAAGGAGAGGAGAUCUGGAGGCAGACCCACUGGGCCACAGGCUACCUAAGGACCCUUCUCCAACCUCGUUACCUGGAUCACGCUGGGAUCCUGGGCCAGAUUGCUACUUCGGCAGGCCUGGCCAUCCUGCUGUGGUCAUCGUGGUCCUCCCGGGCCUGGUGAAGUGUAACUGGGCUAUGGUGCAAUGACAUUGCACUGAGCCUGUGUCUGUCAAGGUGUUACAUCGACCUGACAGGACAUGCCUCUGCCUCCAGAUCUGGAGAUGUCGGAGGGCAUGUGCAAUGGACUGGCUUUGCGAAAGGGGGCAUGUGGGUCGGGAAGUGGACUGUGGGACAGCUCUCCAGGUGACCCUGGACUAACCCAGUUCUGCCCACUUCUCACUCAUAGCUGUCAAGAAUAACCAUAGAAUUGGCUGGAAUGCAACAUCCCAAGAUAGGGAGGGAAUGACUGGGCCUGCCUAGGCUCUGUUCCAGUCUCCUCUAGAAACAGGAUGUCCUUCAACACUUCAGCCCAGUGUGUCCUGCAACCCCAGGGUAUAAAACCCAGGCAGGCUGCUUUCUGGGGUUCCUCAGCUGCAGUGCAAGAGGGGUACAGGUAGAUGAGACUCUACCCGCCUGAGCAGGUUUCCUGAGCCUUGAGGACUGGCUUGCAAUGAAGCUGAGGCUUCUGUGGUCCCUUGCGGACCAUCUGUGUGUAAGAAAUCUACUUCAUGGUGCUUGUUAAAUUUGACUGUGUUCUGUCUCACCAGGCUCAGACGUGUUCAUAACCAGUGCUCAGUGAUGCUGCUUCACAAACCCUUUCUAGACCUUUCUCCAGUGAGCCUGGACCAGUCACAGAAACUCCGAGGGAACUAAGUGGAAUAUCACGGGAGGGCAUAGAGUCAGUGGAGGAGUUAACUUGGUCUGUUACUCACAUACUUAGUGAAGGCAGUCAGGUUUCCAGUUACAUUCUCCAUAUCUGUAACCUAUGGUCACUGUGCUAAAAAUAAUGUGCCAUUUUUUAUUUUCAGGCAGAAGUAUUAUCGAGCUGAUUAGAUUAGGGAUUGGUGUUUACUAGUUAUUUCAACAGAAAACGUUAUAAUCAGACACAUUAUCUACCAAAGUAACUGUGAUUUGAUCUUUCUUUUUCCCACCACAGUGUUUCUGUCACAUUGUCAGGGGAUGACACAUGGUUACUAUGGAAAUUGAAUUAAAUGACUCAGAAGUUCCUUUCCAGUCCCAUAAUGCUAUGUGACAUGGUGCUGAUUAUCUACAAGGGAUCUAAUCUUAGACCUUGAACACAGACCCAGCUCGAUUGACUUAUGUAUGUUUUAACAACACAGGGAAAAGGACCUCCAGAAGCAAAUCCCCCAAAAUGAGUUUGACACUCCUGGCUUUGCAAGUGGACAGAAAAACCACAUCUGUCCAGGCCUCAGCCCAGGAGUACUAUGCUGGCCACUUCUAAAAAUACCCAGGAUCAGAGAAAAAAUCUUUGCUUUGACUAGAAAGUGUUAUCACAUAGGGAGCUUUCAAGAUCUGUAGCAAAACACCUUGUAUGUGUCCGUCAUUUUGUAUUCGUUGUCUGAACUCCGCUCUGCUUCUACAAGUAGGUGUCAUUUGCUCGGUUUUACAAAUGAAGGAUGGAGGUUCAGUGUGUGGCUGCAAUGAGCCAGGAAACCAGGCUUGAGUGCAAAGCCCAUGGUCUCUCCACAGACUCCGCCCCUUGGUGGGGGAUGUGGUAUCAGGGCCUGAUGGAGAGGGGCAGAGGUAAGCAAGGAGCAGCCGCCAAACCUGGCUGUGCUUGAUUGAAAUUAAGAAAGAAACAAAAAGAACUAGAGUAAAAGGACCUUCCCACCAGACUUUUAUAGUUCUUGAAGACAAAGACACUCUGCUUACCUCCAUUUCAAAAUAAAUUUUGAGCGUUCCUUUUUCAAUAGAAAAUCCAGGCUGAAUGUGGUGGCUCAUGCCUGUAAUCACAGCAUUUUGGGAGGCUGAGGCAGGCAGAUCACAUGAGGUCAGGAGUUUCGAGACUAGCCUGGCCAACAUGGCAAACCCUGCUUCUACUAAAAAUAAAAGAAUUAGCUGGCCGUGGUGAUGCAUGCCUGUAAUCCCAGCUACUUGGGAGGCUGAGGCAGGAGAAUCACUUGAACCCAGGAGGCGGAGGUUGCAGUGAGCUGAGAUCCCACCAUUGCACUCCAGCCUGGGUAACAGAGCGAGACUCCGUCAAAAAAAAAAAAAAAAAAAAAGAAAAGAAAAGAAAGAAAAUCCAAAUUCCCAAGUUCCCAAUAAACCAAGGUACCGCAAUGGGUAUGGGGUUUCUGGGGCUGCGCUCCACCCACCCCGACAGCUACUGAGCCCUGGCCUCAUGGGCCUCCGCACAGCUGGAACCCAGCUGUCCCGGCUCCACCCGACACUAGCCCUGCUGUGCAGUGAUCAUAACCCCUCUUGGUUGCCAGUUAUUGAAACUCAAUUUAAACUGGAUUAAGAGGAAAUAAAGGAAGGGAUUUUUGGAAGCUUCAGGCUACCACAGAAAUGGCAGGGGUGUGGCUGGCAUCAGAAACACCUGUCACUAGGCGUGGCAUGGCCCCUGCUGUUUCCUCCUCUCAGCUGUGUUCUUCCCAGCCUUGUUUCCUCACACUGGCUUCUUCACAUAGCGGGAAACACAUGUUCACAUCUCUGAGAUGACCAAAGAAGAAUCGGGGCUUGCUCCUGUGUCCCCAAGGAAGAACGUAGGCCAAGAGCCUAUCUUUGGAUGGAGUGAUUGGGGUCUGAGGAGGGGGCACCAGAGGAGGCGGCCUGGAGGGAAUGUUUCUCCCUGUGCUGGGCGGGGCAGCCUGGGACUUGAGAAGUCCACAUCUCCCCUCACGUCACACACUUAGACUAGAGGAAGAGGAGUCCCUGGAGAAAGGAGUUGCUGUCAUGCCUACGUGAAAUCCUCCAUGCUCAUGGCAGCCAACCAGGCAGAUCUCUGCAAAUGCAUCUCCAUCUACCGCCCAAGUGAGGGUUCUCAUCACUGGGCAUGCAGCGGGAGCUAUCUAUUUGUAUAUUGCAACUCACUGAACUCACUACAGGCAGUGACUCCAGUCACUAGGGAGCUUUGUGUGACUUUUAUGUUUAAAACAUUGUUUAUUUCAAAGUUAUCAGUACCUCACAAGUAUUUUAACAACUGUUUGUUUAAAAGUAUCUUCUUGAUACAAAAAUAAGAAGAAAGUGUGACACUUAAACAUAUUUGGAUGGAGAGGAGGAAUUCAUUUGAAGUUAGUUUGAUGCAUUAGCUUGAAGUCACGGCGGAGGCUGAUUUUAAAGCGACAG
ensembl:lncRNA